UACGUAGGGUGCGAGCGUUAAUCGGAAUUACUGGGCGUAAAGCGUGCGCAGGCGGUUCGUCGUGUCUCGUGUGAAAGCCCCGGGCUCAACCCGGGAGGGUCGCGGCGAACUGGGAGCUUGAGGCCGGUAGAGGUGGGUGGAACUCCUGGUGGAGUGGUGAAAUGCGUAGAGAUCAGGAAGAACACCCGUGGCGAAGGCGGCCCACUGGCCGGUGCCUGGACGCUGAGGCGCGAAGGCGUGGGGAGCGAACGGG
rnacentral:rRNA from 1 species